rnacentral:rRNA from 1 species
AUUGAACGCUGGCGGCAGGCUUAACACAUGCAAGUCGAGCGGGGUGAUGGUGCUUGCACUAUCACUUAGCGGCGGACGGGUGAGUAAUGCUUAGGAAUCUGCCUAUUAGUGGGGGACAACAUCUCGAAAGGGAUGCUAAUACCGCAUACGUCCUACGGGAGAAAGCAGGGGAUCACUUGUGACCUUGCGCUAGUAGAUGAGCCUAAGUCGGAUUAGCUAGUUGGUGGGGUAAAGGCCUACCAAGGCGACGAUCUGUAGCGGGUCUGAGAGGAUGAUCCGCCACACUGGGACUGAGACACGGCCCAGACUCCUACGGGAGGCAGCAGUGGGGAAUAUUGGACAAUGGGGGGAACCCUGAUCUAGCCAUGCCGCGUGUGUGAAGAAGGCCUUAUGGUUGUAAAGCACUUUAAGCGAGGAGGAGGCUCUUUUGGUUAAUACCCAAGAUGAGUGGACGUUACUCGCAGAAUAAGCACCGGCUAACUCUGUGCCAGCCGCCGCAGUAA